UAGUCGGAGAGUUUGAUCCUGGCUCAGGACGAACGCUGGCGGCGUGCAUAAAACAUGCAAGUCGAACGGACCAAAGCCGCAAGGCCGAGGUCAGUGGCGAACGGCUGAGUAACACGUAGGUGACCUGCCCAGAAGUGGGGGACAACUCCUCGAAAGAGGGGCUAAUACCGCAUGUGAUCACCGGUCCAUUCCGGUGUUCAAAGGCGCAAGUCGCUUCUGGAGGGGCCUGCGGCGGAUCAGCUAGUUGGUGGGGUAACGGCUCACCAAGGCUACGAUCCGUAGCUGGUCUGAGAGGAUGGCCAGCCAGACUGGGACUGAGACACGGCCCAGACUCCUACGGGAGGCAGCAGUUAGGGAUCUUGUGCAAUGGGGGAAACCCUGACACAGCAACGCCGCGUGAGGGAUGAAGGCCUUCGGGUCGUAAACCUCUUUUCUGAGGGAAGAAACCUGACGGUACCUCAGGAAUAAGCAACGGCUAACUACGUGCCAGCAGCCGCGGUAAUACGUAGGUUGCGAGCGUUGUCCGGAAUCACUGGGCGUAAAGCGCACGCAGGCGGCUUCGGAAGUCCAAGGUGAAAGCCCUGGGCCCAACCCAGGGAGGCCCUUGGAAACUCCGGAGCUCGAAGGCGGGAGAGGCAGAUGGAAUUUCCGGUGUAGCGGUAAAAUGCGUAGAUACCGGAAGGAACACCAGUGGCGAAAGCGAUCUGCUGGCCCGCUCUUGACGCUCAGGUGCGAAAGCUAGGGGAGCGACCGGGAUUAGAUACCCCGUUAGUCCUAGCCGUAAACGAUGGUCACUAGGUGUUGUCGGUAUCGACCCCGGCAGUGCCGUAGCUAACGCAUUAAGUGACCCGCCUGGGGAGUACGACCGCAAGGUUAAAACUCAAAGGAAUUGACGGGGGCCC
rfam:Chloroflexi bacterium GWC2_70_10 gwc2_scaffold_31063, whole genome shotgun sequence.